rnacentral:rRNA from 1 species
AUUGAACGCUGGCGGAAUGCUUUACACAUGCAAGUCGAACGGCAGCACGGACUUCGGUCUGGUGGCGAGUGGCGAACGGGUGAGUAAUAUAUCGGAACGUGCCCAGUCGUGGGGGAUAACGUAGUGAAAAUUACGCUAAUACCGCAUACGAUCUAUGGAUGAAAGCGGGGGAUCGCAAGACCUCGCGCGAUUGGAGCGGCCGAUAUCAGAUUAGGUAGUUGGUGAGGUAAAGGCUCACCAAGCCGACGAUCUGUAGCUGGUCUGAGAGGACGACCAGACACACUGGAACUGAGACACGGUCCAGACUCCAACGGGAGGCAGCAGUGGGGAAUAUUGGACAAUGGAAGCAAGUCUGAUCCAGCCAUUCCGCGUGCAGGACGAAGGACUUCGGGUUGUAAACUGCUUUUGUACAGAACGAAAAGGUCUCUAUUAAUACUAGGGGCUCAUGACGGUACUGUAAGAAUAAGCACCGGCUAACUACGUGCCAGCCGCCACGGUAACAC